UACAGAGGUGGCAAGCGUUGUUCGGAAUUACUGGGCGUAAAGGGCGCGUAGGCGGCCCGCCAAGUCCCGUGUGAAAGCCCCCGGCUCAACCGGGGAACGGCGCGGGAAACUAGCAGGCUUGAGUUCGGGAGAGGGAAGCGGAAUUCCGGGUGUAGCGGUGAAAUGCGCAGAUAUCCGGAGGAACACCGGUGGCGAAGGCGGCUUCCUGGACCGACACUGACGCUGAGGCGCGAAAGCUAGGGGAGCAAACGGG
rnacentral:rRNA from 2 species